rnacentral:rRNA from 1 species
CAUGUCUUUUUGAUAAUAAUUUAAAGUCUAACCUGCCCUAUGAAUCAUUAGUGUUUAAAUGGCUGCGGUAGUUUGACCGUGCAAAGGUAGCAUAAUAAUUAGUUUUUUAAUUGGGAACUGGUAUGAAAGGUUGGACGAGAUAAAUACUGUCUCAAUUUAAUUUAAGUUAGAAUUUUAUUUUUAAGUAAGAAAGCUUAAAUAUUUUUAAAAGACGAGAAGACCCUAUAGAGUUUUAUAUAAUUAAAAUUAUAUAAAAAUUAAAGGUAUUUAAGAUUUAUUUAAUAUUAUAUUAUAUUUAAUUGGGGUGAUUGAAAAAUUAAAAUAACUUUUUUUAAAAAAUUGACCAUUAAUUUAUGAGUAAUUGAUCCAUAUGUUAUGAUUAAAAGAUUAAAUUACCUUAGGGAUAACAGCGUAAUUUUUUUUAAGAGUUCUAAUCGAAAAAAAAGUUUGCGACC